rnacentral:rRNA from 1 species
ACGAGAGGCCCAAGUUGAUAUCUGACGGCGUAAAGAGUGGUUAAAAAAGCUACAAACUAAAGCCGAAUACUUUCUAAGCUGUUAUACGCACUUGAAAGCAUGAAGUUCAACCACGAAAGUGGCUUUAUGACACUUGAACCCACGAAAGCUAAGAAACAAACUGGGAUUAGAUACCCCACUAUG